rnacentral:rRNA from 1 species
AGAGUUUGAUCAUGGCUCAGGAUGAACGCUAGCGGCAGGCUUAAUACAUGCAAGUCGUGGGGUAAAUAAGGGUAGCAAUAUCCUUAUGAGACCGGCAAACGGGUGCGUAACGCGUACGCAAUCUACCUUCAACUGGAGGACAGCCCAUCGAAAGAUGGAUUAAUACUCCGUAAUGUUAUCGAAAGGCAUCUUUUGAUAUCUAUAGCUCCGGCGGUUGAAGAUGAGCGUGCGUCCCAUUAGGUAGUUGGUAGGGUAACGGCCUACCAAGCCAGCGAUGGGUAGCUGGCGUGAGAGCGCGACCAGCCACACGGGCACUGAGACACGGGCCCGACUCCUACGGGAGGCAGCAGUAAGGAAUAUUGGUCAAUGGACGCAAGUCUGAACCAGCCAUGCCGCGUGAAGGAUUAAGGCCCUCAGGGUUGUAAACUUCUUUUAUUUGGGAAGAAACCCUCUGAUUCUUCGGAGGUUGACGGUACCAGAUGAAUAAGCACCGGCUAACUCCGUGCCAGCAGCCGCGGUAAUAC